CGUAAAAAUUUUCAAAUUACAUACAGAUUAGUAAACUAAUUUAUAAGUGAUUCUUAAAUGA
rnacentral:tRNA from 1 species